UACAGGGGGUGCAAACGUUGCUCGGAAUCAUUGGGCGUAAAGCGCACGUAGGCGGUUCGUUAUGUCGGAUGUGAAAGCCCUUGGCUUAACCGAGGAAGUGCAUCCGAAACUGGCGAGCUAGAGUACGAAAGAGGAUCGCGGAAUUCCCGGUGUAGAGGUGAAAUUCGUAGAUAUCUGGAGGAACACCGGUGGCGAAGGCGGCAUCCUGGACCGACAUUGACGCUGAGGCGCGAAAGCCAGGGGAGCAAACGGG
rnacentral:rRNA from 1 species